UAUCUUUGUCAUAAGUCAAACUUCUUAACGUUUGACCAAGUUUAUUGAAAAAUGUACCAACAUCUACAAUAUCAAAUAAGUAUGUUAUGAAGAUAUAUAAGUAUUUCAUAAAACUAAUUUAGAGUUGUAGCUGUUGGUAGAUUUUUCUAUAAACUUGGUCAAACUUUAAGAAGUUUGACUUUGGACAAACCUAA
rfam:Brachypodium distachyon strain Bd21 chromosome 2, whole genome shotgun sequence.